CCUACGGGAGGCAGCAGUGGGGAAUAUUGCACAAUGGACGGAAGUCUGAUGCAGCGACGCCGCGUGGAUGAAGACGGCCUUCGGGUUGUAAAAUCCUUUUAGUGGGGAAGAGAAAGGACGGUACCCACUGAAUAAGUGUCGGCUAACUACGUGCCAGCAGCCGCGGUAAUACGUAGGGGGCUAGCGUUAUCCGGUAUUACUGGGCGUAAAGGGUGCGUAGGCGGCCCUUCAAGUCAGAGGUGAAAGGCUACGGCUCAACCGUAGUAAGCCUUUGAAACUGUAGGGCUUGAGUGCAGGAGAGGAGAGUGGAAUUCCCAGUGUAGCGGUGAAAUGCGUAGAUAUUGGGAGGAACACCAGUUGCGAAGGCGGCUCUCUGGACUGUAACUGACGCUGAGGCACGAAAGCGUGGGGAGCGAACAGGAUUAGAUACCCCUGUAGUC
rnacentral:rRNA from 1 species